CAGCAGCCGCGGGAAUACAGAGGUCCCGAGCGUUGUUCGGAUUCACUGGGCGUAAAGGGUGUGUAGGAGGUUGGAUAAGUCAGGUGUGAAAUCCCGCAGCUCAACUGCGGAACUGCAUUCGAUACUGUUCAACUAGAGGAUCGGAGGGGGAAGCGGAAUUCUUGGUGUAGCGGUGGAAUGCGCAGAUAUCAGGAGGAACACCGAUGGCGAAGGCAGAUCUCUGGGCCGUAACUGACGCUGAGGAGCGAAAGCAUGGGGAGCGAACAGGAUUAGAUACCCCAGUAGUCCCUGUCUCUUAUAC
rnacentral:rRNA from 1 species